rnacentral:rRNA from 1 species
GAUGAACGCUGGCGGCGUGCCUAAUACAUGCAAGUCGAGCGAACGGACGAGAAGCUUGCUUCUCUGAUGUUAGCGGCGGACGGGUGAGUAACACGUGGAUAACCUACCUAUAAGACUGGGAUAACUUCGGGAAACCGGAGCUAAUACCGGAUAAUAUUUUGAACCGCAUGGUUCAAAAGUGAAAGACGGUCUUGCUGUCCCUUAUAGAUGGAUCCGCGCUGCAUUAGCUAGUUGUUAAGGUAACGGCUUACCAAGGCAACGAUGCCUAGCCGACCUGAGAGGGGUGUCGGCCACACUGGAACUGAGACACGGUCCAGACUCCUACGGGAGGCAGCAGUAGGGAAUCUUCCGCAAUGGGCGAAAGCCUGACGGAGCAACGCCGCGUGAGUGAUGAAGGUCUUCGGAUCGUAAAACUCUGUUAUUAGGGAAGAACAUAUGUGUAAGUAACUGUGCACAUCUUGACGGUACCUAAUCAGAAAGCCACGGCUAACUACGUG